UGCUGACAGUCACGAUGUUACACAAACGUGUGCCAUAAGCAUACAAAACAGGCCCGUAAAAGAGAUGAAACGUGGGUGCCGAAAAGUCACUCAUCACGGAAUUGUAGUGUACUGCAGUGUGACACUUGCCUCAAUUGCCAGUCAUACACUCUAUAGUGUUUACCCGGGUUGAGCACAAGUAAGGCUUCACAGUUAAUCAUGAGGGGUAGCCGACGCGUAUAAUACUGGGUAGAGCGACUGAACGUAUUUCGGAUCAGAUUUUUGUGUUCCCGCCCUAUAUCAAAGCACACAGGUUUUAGAUCAAUCGCGUAGAAAGGCACCUAAAGGUUAGCUCUCCCCUUACAAAAAGCAAUUUUUUUGGCUUCCGUAGCUGCACUCUGCAUCAUCUCUCUCUGCUACUCUGUUUUUUGGUGGAUUUUUUUCUUUGUCAAUUUUGCCACCUGAAGUACCAUUUUUCAUUUAAAAUUUUUGUUAGUGUCCUCCCUGCUCUAACUUCCCUAGUAACACAAGAUUGUCGCACAUAGUGUGAUUUUUAUCUAUCGUCCAAUUAUUGUGACAAUAACGAAAAUCCAAAAGUGGUGGCUUUCCCAUAGUCAGACGAUUGUCGCUGGUCUAUCAAAUUUAAACCAUCUACAAUUCUGUUGUAUUUUUAUCGAUUCCUGAUCGCAUCCACAACAGUGGUUUUUGGCUUCCAUUACGAUAGCUGGCCGUUAACGAUUUUCGUUUCGAGGAAAAAAAAUAGUAUCCCGAUAGAAUCAUUUUUCUCAUUUCGUAUAUCGCACCGAUGGUUCGUAUUUUUUUUCUACUGUUGUCCGACUGUCGUACGACAGUUAUGUGUUACUAGGGUUGUCAAUUUAUUCAAAUUUGCUGUGAAAUAAAGUCUAAUUAAAAUAAUGCGUAAACCAUCGCAGUGAUCAAGUUUUGAUGCCACUAAUAAAUAAUUUUUUGAAAAGGUAAACAUGACAAAGUCUUUUAAAGUUACCUGACUAUCGCUUUCCAACAACUUUUCUGUUAAUGUAAGAUCUCGUUCUUUUCACAUUUCCUCCUACCUCAUAUGAAAGCGUUUUCAUGAGUAGUUUCGUAUUCGUACAAAUAUCUUUUGGGAAGUCUACGUAUCCCAUCUUACAGGUAGAGUAUAAUGAACUGUGUUGUUACAUGACAUGGCUUUGUAUUGUUUUAAAGGUAAGACAUUCUUGUUUGUAUUCCCAGACUUCAGAAGGCUUCUUUCCGCUGAUUCUCCUCGCUCAGAAAUUCGUGUUUCCGAGCGGGUUGCUCAUUUGAAGUGCCAUCAGAAAAAAUAGAUAAGCGGGUUGUAGUGUUCGUGAUUUUGGGCUGCUAGACCAAUUCAUUCAAACGGCUCUGCGACGAGGCACAUUCCUUAAUUCGUGCACUAUUCACGCGAGACAAUAGACAUAGAUAUUUUGAUUAAUUAUGGUUUUUCAGCUUGUUACUUCUCGUGUUUACAUUUCAUAUUUCGAAUGCUGAUCUUCAUUUGUGUAGUAGAACCUCAGACCGAUGGGAGUCGUCCAUUUAUUUGGCCAAUGGCAAUGUUUGGCGGGUGAAUCCUGAAUCUCCAACCCAAAGGCUACGAACUGUGACUGGACUCCAUUAUUUGUGUAAGUCACCUCCAGCAAUCGACUUUGGAUGUGGAGAGUAGACCCUUGAGGUGGGUGUUUGUAGCACACUCAGCGCCCCAUUCGACUGACAAGUCUCAGGUUCAGGUCCUCCCCGUGUCAAGUGGCUGAUCUGCUCUGCAUCAUGGCCACGCAAGAAGUUACUGUUAUUCGGGAGAACGCGCCAACGGGCGCCUGUUCAUCGCCGAUUCCCACAUCUAUAGUUCUUCCCGAAGAACUGCCGAUGUUGUUUAUCUGAGGUGCCACUCAAUUCGGGGUUGCCCGGGCACAGCGGUGUACUGCGAGGGAGACACGUUUUUUCGAACUCUCGUGGACCACUCGCACCCUCCAGAUAGAGAUGAAGAAGAGAAGUAUCUGUUUGUUAGAGUCUGCGUGAUGAGGCCACACUGACUACCCUAGAAGUCGACGCGAUCGUCGUUCCACUCACUCAAAGGUAUCCCCUUGGCGCAUCAAUCUUCUCCGCGUCAGAGGUCAGAACUAUCAUCAGGCGAGCAAGGGAGUGUGUCCAGCCACCUCCCACCAUUAUGGCGGCUUUGAUUACUACGCUAGAAGAUCCAAAAUGGAACUCGUUCACGCUCAUGGCACUAACGAGGGACAGAAAAUUUUACGUUGGCCCCAUUGAGGUGCCACAAGGUAAAAGUGUUGUAUUUAGGUCGCAGACCUUCGAUCUUCCUGAGGUUCUCGACAUCUUCAUUACCUACAGUCCUAUAGCUCCCAGGCACCCGGCCACUCUGGGAAAAGUACUCCUGGUAGGAUUUUUUAUCCAGGGCGACCAGGGGAAAGUUCUGGUAAGGAGUGGUGUGAGCAUCUUUGUAAUGGAAUUCAGUCAACAAAACAUGCCUAAUCUGUUAUCUUGUUACAAGCUGUUCCACUGAUGUAUGUAUGGCUGGAGGAUACUUCAUACCUGAAUGUCUUGAAUGCCCUGAGGGCUUUAAACCUCGGGUUUCUGACCAGGCGCGGCGGAACGUUUUUGAACCAGGGGGGGGCAAGCCUGAGGGCGCCUUCGGCGCCUCCCUCACCCCCAUUGCAAAAUAACUAUUUUCCUUCUUUAAAAAUUCAAUUCUCAGAAACUGUUUGCCAUUUUGUCCAUAUUUAUUGAAACUUGAAGAGACUGUUGGACGUGAAGAGUUGCAUGCUGACCAUUGUGACAGAAUUUAUACUCAUAACUCAUACCUAAAAGCUUUGGUCUUUGAGAGGAUGA